AUUGAACGCUGGCGGCAGGCCUAACACAUGCAAGUCGAACGAGUGGCGGACGGGUGAGUAAUGUCUGGGAAACUGCCCGAUGGAGGGGGAUAACUACUGGAAACAGUAGCUAAUACCGCAUACCAUCGGAUGUGCCCAGAUGGGAUUAGCUAGUAGGUGGGGUAACGGCUCACCUAGGCGACGAUCCCUAGCUGGUCUGAGAGGAUGACCGGCGACACUGGAACUGAGACAGGGUCAAGACUCCUACGGGAGGCAGCAGUGGGGAAUGUUGGACAAUGGGCGCAAGCGUGAUGCAGCCAGGGGGCGUGUAUGAAGAAGGCCUUCAGGUUGUGAGGUACGUUCAGCGAGGAGGCGUUACUCGCAGAAGAAGCACCGGCUAACUCCGUGCCAGCCGCCGCGGUAAUAC
rnacentral:rRNA from 1 species